rnacentral:rRNA from 1 species
CUACGAGGGGCUGCAGUGAGGAAUAUUGCACAAUGGGGGGAACCCUGAUGCAGCAACGCCGCGUGGAGGAUGACGCAUUUCGGUGUGUAAACUCCUUUUAUAUGUCAAGAAAAUGACGGUAGCAUAUGAAUAAGCACCGGCUAACUCCGUGCCAGCAGCCGCGGUAAUACGGAGGAUGAAGCGUUACUCGGAAUCACUGGGCGUAAAGGACGCGUAGGCGGGUUGGAAAGUCAGGUGUGAAAUCCUACAGCUUAACUGUAGAACUGCACUUGAAACUUCUAAUCUAGAGUAUGGGAGGGGGAGAUGGAAUUAGUGGUGUAGGGGUAAAAUCCGUAGAUAUCACUAGGAAUACCUAAAGCGAAGGCGAUCUCCUGGAACAUUACUGACGCUAAGGCGUGAAAGCGUGGGGAGCAAACAGGAUUAGAUACCCGGGUAGUC